GUAGGGUGCGAGCGUUAAUCGGAAUUACUGGGCGUAAAGCGUGCGCAGGCGGUUGUGCAAGACAGAUGUGAAAUCCCCGGGCUUAACCUGGGAAUUGCAUUUGUGACUGCACGGCUAGAGUGUGUCAGAGGGGGGUAGAAUUCCACGUGUAGCAGUGAAAUGCGUAGAUAUGUGGAGGAAUACCGAUGGCGAAGGCAGCCCCCUGGGAUAACACUGACGCUCAUGCACGAAAGCGUGGGGAGCAAACAGGAUUAGAUACCCUGGUAGUCCACGCCCUAAACGAUGUCUACUAGUUGUCGGGUCUUAAUUGACUUGGUAACGCAGCUAACGCGUGAAGUAGACCGCCUGGGGAGUACGGUCGCAAGAUUA
rnacentral:rRNA from 1 species